rnacentral:rRNA from 1 species
ACUGCGGCAGGCUACACAUGCACGUCGAUGCGGUAGAGAGAAGCUUGCUUCUCUUGAGAGCGGCGGACGGGUGAGUAAUGCCUAGGAAUCUGCCUGGUAGUGGGGGAUAACGUUCGGAAACGAGACGCUAAUACCGCAUACGUCCUACGGGAGAAAGCAGGGGACCUUCGGGCCUUGCGCUAUCAGAUGAGCCUAGGUCGGAUUAGCUGAGUUGGUGAGAGUAAUGGCUCACCAAGGACGACGCAUCCGUAACUGGUCUGAGAAGGAUGAAUCAGUCGACACUGGAAACUGAGACACGGUCCAGACUCCUACGGGAAGGCAAGCAAUGGGGAAUAUUGGACAAUGGGCGAAAGCCUGAUCCAACCAUGCCGCGUGUGUGAAGAAAAGUC